rnacentral:rRNA from 2 species
UGGGGAAUAUUGCACAAUGGAGGGAACUCUGAUGCAGCGACGCCGCGUGAACGAAGAAGGCUUUCGAGUCGUAAAGUUCUUUUAUAUGGGAAGAUAAUGACGGUACCAUAAGAAAAAGCCCCGGCUAACUACAUGCCAGCAGCCGCGGUAAUACGUAGGGGGCUAGCGUUGUCCGGAAUCACUGGGCGUAAAGGGUUCGCAGGCGGAAAUGCAAGUCAGGUGUAAAAGGCAGUAGCUUAACUACUGUAAGCAUUUGAAACUGCAUAUCUUGAGAAGAGUAGAGGUAAGUGGAAUUUUUAGUGUAGCGGUGAAAUGCGUAGAUAUUAAAAAGAAUACCGGUGGCGAAGGCGACUUACUGGGCUCAUUCUGACGCUGAGGAACGAAAGCGUGGGUAGCAAACAGG